GGAGAAAAUGACAAUGAAACAAAGUUGGGAAGAAGAAAACAUUACAGAUCAACAAUUCCCAAUUCCCAGCAAAGAAUCACCUCUGCUCUUUUUCCAAGCUAUAACCAGCUUACAGAAACUACUGAAAUACUUCCCAUACCCCCUACUUCUCUGUUUUCUCCUUUUAUAGCUUAUGCUCCUCCUUCUGGCCCAUGUGCCUCUUUCCUGCCAGCCUUUUGUUCCGGAUAAUCAGCUAAUUGAAUAUUGCUU
rnacentral:misc_RNA from 1 species